rnacentral:rRNA from 1 species
UACGGAGGGUGCGAGCGUUGUCCGGAAUCAUUGGGCGUAAAGGGCGCGUAGGCGGCCCGGUCAGUUCGUGGUGAAAGCGCGGGGCUCAACCCUGCGUCGGCCAUGAAUACUGCCGCGGCUGGAGCACUGUAGAGGCAGGCGGAAUUCCGGGUGUAGCGGUGGAAUGCGUAGAUAUCCGGAGGAAUACCAAAGGCGAAGGCAGUGUCCUGGAGGGUGACUGACGCUGAGGCGCGAAAGCUAGGGGAGCGAACAGG